rnacentral:other from 1 species
AGAUACCUAGUUGAUAGUUUAUAGCGUAUAAAACCGACUAAAGAUAGAAAUAAGGGAAUCUAAUUAGGUUAUGGUGUAGAAUGCUUAUUCAUUAAGUACAUAAGAAUCCUAAAAUAACUUAUGUGAUGCCCACCUGCGGAGAGCGCGGGAUUUUAUCUAGCAUAGACUAAUCUUACUGGGUUUUUU